CGCCCGAGAGCUCCAGAGCCGGC
rnacentral:piRNA from 1 species